GACGAACGCUGGCGGCGUGCUUAACACAUGCAAGUCGAGCGAGUGAGUUCUUCGGAACGAUCUAGCGGCGGACGGGUGAGUAACACGUGGGCAACCUGCCUCAUAGAGGGGAAUAGCCUCCCGAAAGGGAGAUUAAUACCGCAUAAAAUUAUCGAGUGGCAUCACACGAGAAUCAAAGGAGUAAUCCGCUAUGAGAUGGGCCCGCGGCGCAUUAGCUAGUUGGUGAGGUAACGGCUCACCAAGGCGACGAUGCGUAGCCGACCUGAGAGGGUGAUCGGCCACAUUGGGACUGAGACACGGCCCAGACUCUUACGGGAGGCAGCAGUGGGGAAUAUUGCACAAUGGGGGAAACCCUGAUGCAGCAACGCCGCGUGAGUGAUGAAGGUCUUCGGAUUGUAAAGCUCUGUCUUUGGGGACGAUAAUGACGGUACCCAAGGAGGAAGCCACGGCUAACUACGUGCCAGCCGCCGCCGUAA
rnacentral:rRNA from 1 species